rnacentral:rRNA from 1 species
CCCUUAGAUGUUCUGGGCUGCACGCGCGCUACACUGAUGCGUUCAACGAGUGUAUCACCUUGCCCGAUAGGGUUGGGUAAUCUUUUGAACACGCAUCGUGAUGGGGAUAGAUUAUUGCAAUUAUUAAUCUUCAACGAGGAAUUCCUAGUAAUGAUGAAUCAUCAGUUCAUCGUGAUUACGUCCCUGCCCUUUGUACACACCGCCCGUCGCACCUACCGAUUGAAUGGUCCGGUGAAAUCUUCGGAUCUGAGAGAUGUCUGAUUAAUUUCGGACGCCUUUUGGAAAAGUUGUUUAAACCUUACCAUUUAGAGGAAGGUGAAGUCGUAACA